rnacentral:rRNA from 1 species
AACGCGUGGGAACGUGCCCUUUUCUUCGGAAUAGCCUUGGGAAACUGAGGGUAAUACCGGAUACGCCCUUUUGGGGAAAGAUUUAUCGGGGAAGGAUCGGCCCGCGUCUGAUUAGGUAGUUGGUGGGGUAAUGGCCCACCAAGCCGACGAUCAGUAGCUGGUUUGAGAGGAUGAUCAGCAACACUGGGACUGAGACACGGCCCAGACUCCUACGGGAGGCAGCAGUGGGGAAUCUUAGACAAUGGGGGCAACCCUGAUCUAGCCAUGCCGCGUGGGUGAUGAAGGCCUUAGGGUCGUAAAGUCCUUUCGCUGGGGAAGAUAAUGACGGUACCCAGUAAAGAAACCCCGGCUAACUCCGUGCCAGCAGCCGCGGUAAUACGGAGGGGGUUAGCGUUGUUCGGAAUUACUGGGCGUAAAGCGCGCGUAGGCGGAUCGGAAAGUUGGGGGUGAAAUCCCGGGGCUCAACCCCGGAAUUGCCUUCAAAACUCCCGGUCUUGAGUUCGAGAGAGGUGAGUGGAAUUCCGAGUGUAGAGGUGAAAUUCGUAGAUAUUCGGAGG